AUUGAACGCUGGCGGCAUGCCUAACACAUGCAAGUCGAGCGGGGUUUUCGGACCUAGCGGCGGACGGGUGAGUAAUGCGUAGGAAGCUGCCCGAUAGAGGGGGAUACCAGUUGGAAACGACUGUUAAUACCGCAUAAUGUCUACGGACCAAAGUGUGGGACCUUCGGGCCACAUGCUAUCGGAUGCGCCUACGUGGGAUUAGCUAGUUGGUGAGGUAAUGGCUCACCAAGGCGACGAUCUCUAGCUGGUUUGAGAGGAUGAUCAGCCACACUGGAACUGAGACACGGUCCAGACUCCUACGGGAGGCAGCAGUGGGGAAUAUUGGACAAUGGGCGCAAGCCUGAUCCAGCCAUGCCGCGUGUGUGAAGAAGGCCUUCGGGUUGUAAAGCACUUUCAGCGAGGAGGAAGGGGUGUGUGUUAAUAGUACACACCUUUGACGUUACUCACAGAAGAAGCACCGGCUAACUCUGUGCCAGCAGCCGCGGUAAUAC
rnacentral:rRNA from 1 species